CGCUGCGCGCCGGACGGGGCCCAAGCGGGGGUCGGAGCCUCAAGGCUGCGGCGGCGACGAGCUCCGAGCGGGACACUGAACGGCCCGUAUGCGCAAGAUAAGCACGGACUGAAUCAGGUACACGCACCUGCCGGGGACGCACUGACCGAGGUGCGGACGGCGGUACCAGGACAGGUAAAGCCGCGAACACUCGGACCUAAGAACUUGACAGGUACACCCUGCCUGAUGAAGCUACGUACGGCCAGGUGCGCAUCGAGUGAAUCAGGUCAUCAUCUCACCCUUGUUCAUUAUUGGAUGGAGAAACCAGGGUCCCAGAGACACUGGCCGGCUGGGGCAAGAUCACCACUCAUUCCUAUCAACAGCUGGGUUAAAGGUGCAGAAGACAUGCUUAUUCGAUUUGCAGGUGACCCAAAACUAGAUGCAGUGGCUGGUAUUUUAAAUGACCAAACAAGAGCCCAAAAUCCCCUAAAGCGGAUGAGAUGAUGGACUAACCCCUCUACGGAUGGAUGUAAAAUUAAAAUUUUUUGCAUGAAAGAGAUUUUGGCUGAAGGUUCAUUGCACAUUGAGAUGGUUGCCCCAAAUGAUUGUGGUCUCAGGCUGAGUCUGUAGAGGUACAGGUUGACGAUGAGGGAGGUGAUAGCUGGAGGGUUGUGCUCAACUCUGGUUGUCGUACAUUUGAGGAGACAGGGAGAGACCAGAGUCCAGUUUGUGGAGGGUAAAGGUUAGUGAGGAACUGGGGAUACUGAUCUUGCAGAAGAGAAGACUCAAAAGGGCAGAGGCAGGAACAGUGGUAUAACCCUGCCUGGCUCCAAGGGCAGAACUGGCACCCAUGGAGAUAACAGGGGCCUGAGAACCAGCUCUGUGGCUAUCAGAACUUUCCCACAGUGAAUCAGAGUGCCUUCAGAGGUGGUGAGCUCCCCAUCACCAAUGGUAUGCAAGCAGAGUGAGGAAAGGAUUCCUGUUUCCAGCUCUCAGAUGGUUUUAUCAACAGCAAAAAAACUAGACCCUACUGAUAAAAAUUUCUGUUGGCUAUAUAUACACAUAUAGUUAACAAAUAUGUAAUCCAUAUUUCCCCUAUUUUAAGGUUUAUUUUAUUUUAUUUUUGAGACAGGGUCUCACUCUGUCACGCAGGCUAAAGUGUAGUGCAGGAUCUUGGCUCACAGCAGCCUCUACCUCCCGGUUUAAGCCAUUCUCCCACCUCAGCCUCCUGAGUAGCUGGGACUACAGGCUCCUGCCACUACACACCUGGCUAAUUUUUGUAUUUUUUGUAGAGACGAAGUUUCGCCAUGUUGCCCAGGCUGAUCUCAAGCUCUUGGGCUCAAGCAAUCCACCUGCCUUGGCCUCCCGAAGUGCUGGGAUUACAGGGUGAGAACCUACUUCUUCAUAAAGAGAAUUUGGAGGGAGCUUUUUGUUCUGCGGGGACAACAUCUGGAUUUGAAUACAUCCAUGCUCAAAAGGAGAUUUCUCAUAAUGGACCCAACUGAAAGCACUCAGAGUACAAGGACCGGUGAGCUUUCAAAAGGAGACACUUCGGGAGACUCGCCAGGGGCCCUCGUAUCCCCGGCAGCGCGAGUUUUGGAGGUCAGUGGAGGGCUCUCGCAUCAUGCAUGUAACUUUCAUACUCAAAAACUUACCUUCAUCCUGCAUCCCUCACCCCCCUGCAGAAACUUGGGGCUUGAAUUCAUUUAAAAACAUUUGCGGUUUCAGAAGCCUUCUUUUUAUUAUGAAGCUGCCAAGGAGAUCUUAGAAUGAAAGGCAUUUUUAGAGAUGAGAAAGAAGGAAGCCAGGCCAAGGCUGGGCCGGCUCUCAGCCGUGGGUCUGUAAAGGUGACACGUGGGACAUGGCCACCUGCAGACCCUGCAGGCGGCUGGGCAGAGGCACCCACAGGGACCUGGGUUUGAAUCCCUGCUCUGCCAGUCAUUUCCACAGCGAUCUUGGGGGAAGUUGUGUAACCUCUGGGCCCUGCGACGCCCUUUCCUGGAGCCUGGAGCUGGAACGAAGCCCCUUGGAGCCCUGACAUCAGAGGUGACGUUAGUCUUCGCAGGCAAUGACUCGGCGGAAUGUGAUGCCACUCCCUAACCCGUGUCCGGACUGGCAGAGUGUGUGCCGCCUCCCACCAGGUGGUCUGGCUGCUUUGAUGGAUCUCCUAACUUCUCUGCACCCCAGAGCCCUCAGUGCUGGCCAGACCUUCACUCACUCCUGGGUGACAACCCCGUUCUCAGAUAGUGGGUCCCACAGGCUGGCCUGUGGCGCCCCCUGCUGGUGACUGCAGGGAGAAGGAUGCCCUAAGCCAAAGGAAGUCCUUCCUGGGGUCUAAUCUCUACCUUUUGCAUGAUGAGGCAGCUGAGGUGGCUCGCUUUCUCCUCCACCCCAGAAAAUAAAGUCAUAUGGAGUCCAAGCAGUUAUUUUUCUCUGCUAGGCCAGUCCAUCAUAAGCCCCAAAUGGAGGGGCCCCUGGAAUGAGCCCUAUGCAGGCCUUCUAUGGACAAGGGCCCUUCAGGGAGUAGGGCUGUGGUGAGGAUGGGGUGCAUGUGUGUGGGCUCUCACCUGGGUGUGGGAAGAUCAGAGGGACCCCACAGGUCAGUGUUUGCAGAUGAAAAAAUGAAGGUAGGAGCUGGGCACGGUGGCUCACGUCUGUAAUCCCAGCACUUUGGGAGGCCAAGGCAGGUGGAUCACGAGGUCAGGAGAUCGAGACCAUCCUGGCUAACAUGGUGAAACCCCGUCUCUACUAAAAAUACAAAAAGUUAGCCAGGUAUGGUGGCGGGCUCCUGUAGUCCCAGCUACUAGGGAGGCUGAGGCAGGAGAAUGGCGUGAAUCUGGGAGGCGGAGCUUGCAGUGAGCCGAGAUCGCGCCACCGCACUUCAGCCUGGGCUACUGAGCAAGACUCCAUCUCAAAAAAAAAAAAAAAAAAAAAAAGAAGGUAGGAAGCUUCAGCCUGAAGGUAAAGUUUUGGGGCAGCUCCAACCCACUGCCCUCCUGGGACCGGUUUUAUCAGCGUUUCCCUGUAAUUGGUGAAAGGCCUUCAGUUAGCCAUUUCUCUGAAGAUUAGAGAAAGCAAGAGAGAUGUGAGUUAAACACAAGGCGGGACUUCUCAAUGAUGGGGGAUGUCAGACCUCAGAAAGGGGAGCAAAGGAACCUUCCCACUGAGGGCAGCCUCCAGUGAGGUGGGGUCCAGGCCAGGCGGGUGAGAUGGCCCUCAACACUGUCCAUCUGGAGGGGCCUGGGACUAGGUUGUAGUCUAUGGGGGUCUCAGGAUGGAAAGGCCUCUUGAGAGGCUCCUGGUGGCUGGGACUUUUGUGGAUGGGAUGGUGAGGACGGGCAGGGGGAGAGACUGAGGCCCAGAGGCAUUGCCACCCCCAUCCUCCCCCGCCUGGUAAACUCAUCUUCCUGACUCAUUGGCUUGCCUCCUCUGCGGACACUGCCUGGUCCCUGUGCAAGGUCACGUUGCUUGCCCUCCACGAGCUCCCGUCCUGCUGCUGAGCUCAUGUUCUGUGAUGGCAGCCUCUGUGUCCAUCCUCCCUGCUGGACUGUGGGCUCCACACCGGCUGAGACCUGACUGUCUUGCUCCAGCCUGGCUCUAACUCCAGCACCUGGCACAUCUAAUCUUGCCUGGCAUGUCCUGGUGCUCAGUGGCUUCAACUGAGAAGAGGCCCAGGGUCUUCCUUGGUCCAGCUAAGCCUGGCUUUAGAAAGGAUUGGGGCAGACGUAGGGGAGGCAGAGCCCCAAGUCUUGAUGGAUGGGUGACCUGGGCACUCUGACUUUCUGCACAGGGCUACCCCUUUCCCCCAUUGAGACACCCUCCUAACUCAGCUGUAGGCUCUGACACCCCACUUCUGGCUGGCUCUGGCUUCCCACACUGGAACCAUCCCCUGCAUGGCUGCCUUGCUUUGUCUGCCUGGGCUCUGACACCCAUAUCAGGCUGACCCCAUAGGGGUGACAGCCCCUCACUGAUUUGUACUCUGACACCCCUGGGCCAGCCUGCCUUCCCCAGUGGUCCCCCUCCUCACUCUGCUAGGAAUCCUGCUGUGUUCAUCCAUGGUUCCCCCAUUCCCUUGCUCUGCUGCACAUAAUAGUUUUAGGACUGAAUUGUUGAGGAAGGAAAGGAGAGAGGAGGAACAGAACUCUGUUUUUGAAAAAUUAUUUUAACUGUGGACAUUUUUGUGCGAGAAAAAUUUUGGACAGAAUACUAAAUGGAGCUGCUCUGGUUGAAGAAAGAGUGAAAGAGAGGGAGAAAGAGAAGAGAAUGGGAAAGGACAGACAGCAGAGAGGAGAGGGAGAGGGGAGAGAGAGGACAGGGGAGGGAAGAGGAGAGGGGAGGGGAGGGGAGAGAUGAGGGGAGGGGAGGGGAGAGGAGAGGAGGAAGCCCUUCAAUGCCCCUGGAGUCCUGCCCACUUGGUCCCACUCCCUCAGAACUCUCAUCUGUCAUUAAGCUCUUGGGGUUCCUAGGUGUGCAGUUUGGGGACCACCGGACAAGAAUUCUGCCUCAAAUAAAAUGAGUGCCACUUAGCCGCUAAGAUGUCUUCUCUGAGCUUUUCUGAGAAGCAGCCCUGGAGGCAGCGGGCUCACCACCUACCCUGAGUAGCUUCUGAGCCUGGCAGCAGUCACCUGGAGCUUGAGGGUAGCAGCUGCCUCUGCCUGGAGGAGGCAUCUCUGAGCAGGGCCAGGGGGCCCUGGACAGGCAUUGGAGGUGUCCUUCCGGGCCUGGUGGAAGUGGGCUAGGGGCUGUGAGUGAGAAGACUUCUAUAGGCCGAGGCACUGGGUAGACACCUCACCCCCAGCCAUCUGUGGACCCUUUGUGACCCUUUAUGCUCCAUCUCUGUCUCCCCCACAAUCACCGGAGAAACAGGAUCUGGGAAUUCUGCCUUGGUGGCCGAAGCAGAAGUCACUGCCCUCCUAAUGCCACUCAUCGGACCACACAACACUUUCACCGCCAGUCCUUGUGUGAUUUGAUCUUUGCAAAUCAGAGAUAGUACUGUUAAUAAUUUCCCUGCAGGAAAGAGGAAGUUAAGGAUAUGAGGAAUUGCCGUCAGGAUCAGAGCUUCAGACCCCCACACCCUCUCCUGCUGCUGUGUCUCCAACUGAUGCUGAAAGUAAAAGCCGCCACUCACUGGCCGGUUACCUGCCCAGCACUCCACAGAGCUUGUUUUUUGUGACCUUCAUGACAGCUGUGAGUCUCAUUUUAUUGAUAGAGACACUGAGGCCCAGAAGAAACUGGCCCAAGAACACACAGGUGAUCAUCACUACGAAGAGCAAAACAGGCCACUUGCCCACCUUGACAGAGCUGGUAAGUGGCAGAGCCAGGACCAUCCAGACGGCUCAGCUUCCAAGCCAGCAAGCCUCAUCGCCAUGCAGUUUGUCCCCAGGGAGGAAGGAUGCUUCUGGUCCCAGGGUCCAGGAUGCUCUACCCUCCUUCCUCUAGGAUAUCCAGGGGGCCAGCUUUAGUGAGAGGAGAGUGCAUGGUCCAGCCUUCUGGGGGCACCCAGAGUGUCCCCUUCCACUCCCAGCUUCCCACUUCUGCUCCACUGUCUCCCUGCAGGAGGCUCUGGGAAGGCAGAGAUGGAGCUGUGGUCCCCACCGCCUUCUGUGGCAGCUCACUUUCAUUCAUUUUCUUUAAAUGCUUCUCACUCUCUGUUUUUAAAUCUAAUUUUUCAGCUUCUUUUUCAUCUUCAUUCAAGUUGCUUUAAUGAAACGAAAAUGUGUCUGUUUCCCUCUGCUGGAGCUGCCCGGGGAAUUUCAAUAUAAAACAAACAAGUUGGCUUUUAAAAUUAAAAUUUUAUGGGUGGCAUUUCCUCAUUUAAUGGGUGGCACAAAAGAGUGGAGUAAAACCAAUUAACAUGGGGUUGAGACUCGGUGUUCAGAAAAACUAAACAACAGGAGCGCGGUGCGCCAGGAGCCAGGAGCAGUUCCAGCAGAGGCUGGGGAGGUGCGCGGGUGAGGCAGUUGUGGAGGCUCCCCCCACUCCCUGGCAGCUGUGUGCACCCAGGUCGGGCACUAGCACAUACAGGGAUGCCAGCCUCAGCUCCCCACCCAGCUCUACCCCCAGGACCCAUGCCCAGGGGUUGGUGUGCACAUCUACCUUGCACAUUCAGAUGGCAGGCGAUAGUGGGGGCUGAGAAUGUGGAGGGGCGGGGGAGGCUGCCUUGGAGCCCUGGGGUCCUGGACACUGUUGUCUGGAGAAGCAUUAGGAAGUAGCUAAGGCCUCUGCCAGGGCCAGCAUUCAUUCGGAUAGUUAUCCUCUGACGCAAUCUGAGUCCUACUCACGAGGGCCUCAUCUUCAUCAUGGCUAUGCCCCAGGGCCCAGACCGCACCAGGAGUGUGGCAAGUGCUGCAUAGAUGCUGGAUACCUGGAUGAAUGACUUCAUUCCGGCAAACAAUACUAAUGGAAAUCCUGCUCUGCUGUGACUCCCUCAGGGUGGGUGUCACCCGGCAUAGGGUGUGUUUGGGGUAGAAAUGGUGAAGAUACCACAGGAGAUCUGAGGAGCAGGGGCAUGCCUGGGUGGCGCUGCAGGGAGAGAAUGGCUCUGUGGAACUGGCAAGGGCAGAGUGAACAGGGCUGGAGAAGAGGCAGUCCGGGCAAGGGCGGGGUGGGGAGGGAGCUGAGAAAUUGAGGUGGCUGAAUCUGGCCUGGAAGGAAGUAGGGGUAAGAAGAUGAGUCUGGAGAGACCAGUCGGGGCUGGCUUGUGAAGAGUGGCAGGUUGCUUUGACUUCAUCUCAGGGCAAUGGGGACUUGCUGCAGGCUCAGAGCAAGGUGAUGUGAUUCCAGGUGGCUUCAGGGACACUGACUCUGGAGGCUGGUGGGAGGGAAAGGAGAGUCCCGCCAGGUGUGCUGGCAUCCCUGCAGGCUGAGCUGAGUACUUCAGGCUGGUUGGU
rnacentral:lncRNA from 1 species